AGGGGGGGUUUAAAUAGAUAACGCUUAGGCAGGGAUGGGUUAAACCGGCAAAAUGAGUAAUGAAUGGUUUAGAAUAGCUAUAAAAUUGUUUAUGGUAUGCAUUGUUUUCGUAUGAAGAGUUAACGAUAUUUUAUGUUUAAAAACAUAUUGGUUUAAAAUUUAGAAAAAGGAUGUAACAUUGAUUUUGUUUAUCAACAUAAAAACUCUAUGAAUCAGCAUCAUGUAUGGUUAGUUGGUUAUGAUCCUCAACAUUUCAAUCAAUUCAAAUUAAGAAACAAAAUAAUGUGUGUUUGAUACAAUGAUAAUAUUGCUUUCCUGUAAGAUUGUAACGCAUAUAUACCAUUGUAGUUAAAACAUUAACAAUUGUCAUUUUAUUUAGACACAAUUUUGUGUUUUCCUGGAAUAUGAAGUGAUUUGUGAAAUUCAACUCUAUACAAAUAUUAUUUUGAAUGGUAAUGAUAUUUGUCAAUGCAUUGUAUCUUGUUUAAACAUAUUUUUUUCAUCUCGAAUUAGUCUACUUAAAGAAAAUGAAUAGUCGUUAUAAACUAAUCACCGAAAGAAACUAUUUGUGGUCGCAGCAUCGCACGGGUACCCUACUAGUAUAUAUAUGCUAAGCACGACCCAAUAUCAUCAUUUGAUAUAUAAGAAACCAAUGUUUAGAUGAAGUUAUAAUUGAGUAGGAUAAGAGUUACUAUGAUACUUGAUGUUAUUGUUUUAUCCUUUUCAAUCACAUGUUACCUACAAAAUGAAAUCUAAACAUUAUUAUUAUACUUCCAUGAGAAAUAUAUAAAAAUUAUCCCAUUAUUUAAUAUCCAAGUGCGUAGAAAAUAUCGACUAAAUAUUAUAAGUCUAACGUAUUGGACCGGGGUGGUUGUUUUUUUUACUUCAUAUUGGACCGGUAGAUGAAUGCAAAAGGAGUUUGACUGCACUUUAACUUAAAAUUCAGAAACAAGAUCCAACAUUGAUUGCAUCUACAAUAUAUCAUUGAAUAUUAAUAUUGAUUAUAAGAAAGAUGAUACAUCAUAACUACUUUAAUUCGCAAAAACAUUGAUCGAGGACAUGCACAAAACAUCUGCAAGAUGGUCUCUGUGCAACAAGCUAGACUAUUGACAUAUUUUCUUAGAAAGUAAGUUUAUAUAUAACUCUUGCACUCCAUAAAGACGAAGCAACAAGUGAAUAAAGAAAAGAGGAUCAAUUUUACCUUAUAUAUGUUUCAUGAUUCGUUCAUAAACGGACUGUACCUCGCCCAUGAUUAUUGGUUAUGGUCUAAGAUUUGCUUUUCAUGUAUGAGGCUUUGAAAAAGAAGUCUAAUAAAUGAAUAUGAAUUAACUAAUGUUAGGGAAAAAAAUUGAUGAACAUGAUUAUUCAUUUGACUUUAUAAGUUCAAAAUUUUGACUUUAAUCGCUGCCUAAUGUUCGAAUUCAUCAUAAUCAAGUUUUUGCUUACUUUGAAUUCCAAUUUCCCGUUUCAUCAUCAGCAUCAACCUCUCUUCUAUCCCAUUCUCUUUAGCCUCGCUUUCAUCUACUUAACUAUUAAAACCGUUGUCAACAAAAAGAAAAGGCAAUAAUAAUACCUUGAAAUCGUUGUUGAAGAUGACUAUACCUUGAUUCAGAUCAGGGCAUGGCCGCUUCAAUCUCGUUUUCUAGAGAGAUAUAAAGAGUAGAGUUUGCAGACAUUAUCCCCCAAAUACAAUGAUUGAGCAAAUUAAACAUGAAAUCGAACAAAAUUACUCUCUCUCAAUCGAAGCGUGAUGAUUCAUCUUCAAGCGUUGACCAGUGACCAUGAGAUAUAUGUAUGAACAAUUGUAGUGUAUGCAAAAAGAUGUCGUUUGAGUCUUUACCAAUAAGGGUCUUCUGAGCCCAAAUCAAUUAUAAGCGGCCCAAAACUUAAUAGUAGCAGGUUUAAAUGCCCAAAAACAGAAAUAAAUAAAUAGAUAACUAUAAAUCAGAACAGAAAAUG
rnacentral:lncRNA from 1 species